rnacentral:misc_RNA from 1 species
CCACUUGCGUGGCAAGACAGAGGUAAACAGCCGGGCCAGUUGUCGCAGUUGAGCGGGCCAAGCUCGUCCUWCUUUAUGAGGGUCGGCACAGUAUGUUGCGUAUCCUACCACUAACUGUGGAGAGGUAGAGGCACCACAUGUUCCGGUUGUCGUCAUAUUCAGAGAGCAUUUGGAGUGUUAGAUCGCGGCAACCAGAAGGGCCACGAGCUAUAUCAUGAGCAACAUCCAAAACCAACAAGCGAGAGCAAGACUGCCAUGAUAGCACUAGGCACAAAAACAUGCCAGCACCACGAGGCAAUGCCGCAAUCGCCAUAUGGCCGCAGCAGCACACCCAAAGGCGUCCACCGCGAGGCAACCAUGUAUGAAGCMCCAAUACCCAUAGGUCAGGUAACAUCACGCAAGCACUUGAAAGGCAAAGUAAGAUAACUCACACGAAUGACAAGACACGGCGCCAGUAGUCGGCCGCACAAAGACGGGGGACCUACCAGCAGACACGUGUCCAAAACAGCUCAUGCGCUCGCGUAG